AUUGAACGCUGGCGGCAGGCCUAACACAUGCAAGUCGAACGAGUGGCGGACGGGUGAGUAAUGUCUGGGAAACUGCCUGAUGGAGGGGGAUAACUACUGGAAACGGUAGCUAAUACCGCAUACCAUCGGAUGUGCCCAGAUGGGAUUAGCUAGUAGGUGGGGUAAAGGCUCACCUAGGCGACGAUCCCUAGCUGGUCUGAGAGGAUGACCAGCCACCCUGGAACGGAGACACGGUCCAGACUCCGACGGGAGGCAGCAGUGGGGAAUAUUGCACAAGGGGCGAAAGCGGAAUGCAGCCAUGCGGCGGGUAGGAAGAAGGCCUUCGGGUUGUAAAGUACUUUCAGCGGGGAGGCGUUACCCGCAGAAGAAGCCCCGGCUAACUCCGUGCCAGCAGCCGCGGUAAUAC
rnacentral:rRNA from 1 species